GAGACAGCAGCAGCCGCGGGAAUACAGAGGGUGCGAGCGUUAAUCGGAUUUACUGGGCGUAAAGCGUGCGUAGGCGGCUUUUUAAGUCGGAUGUGAAAUCCCUGAGCUUAACUUAGGAAUUGCAUUCGAUACUGGGAAGCUAGAGUAUGGGAGAGGAUGGUAGAAUUCCAGGUGUAGCGGUGAAAUGCGUAGAGAUCUGGAGGAAUACCGAUGGCGAAGGCAGCCAUCUGGCCUAAUACUGACGCUGAGGUACGAAAGCAUGGGGAGCAAACAGGAUUAGAUACCCCUGUAGUCCCUGUCUCUUAUAC
rnacentral:rRNA from 1 species